rnacentral:rRNA from 1 species
GUCCACGCCGUAAACGAUGAGUGCUAGGUGCUGCGGGUAUUGACCCCUGCGGUGCCGUAGCUAACGCGUUAAGCACUCCGCCUGGGGAGUACGGCCGCAAGGCUAAAACUCAAAGGAAUUGACGGGGCCCGCACAAGCGGUGGAGCAUGUGGUUCAAUUCGACGCAACGCGCAGAACCUUACCUGGGUUAAAUCCACUCGAAUCUGGCAGAGAUGCCGGGGUGCCUUUCGGGGAACGAGUGAGAAGGUGCUGCAUGGCUGUCGU